GCGUGCUUAACACAUGCAAGUCGAACGGUGAACACGGAGCUUGCUCUGUGGGAUCAGUGGCGAACGGGUGAGUAACACGUGAGCAACCUGCCCCUGACUCUGGGAUAAGCGCUGGAAACGGCGUCUAAUACUGGAUAUGUGACGUGACCGCAUGGUCUGCGUCUGGAAAGAAUUUCGGUUGGGGAUGGGCUCGCGGCCUAUCAGCUUGUUGGUGAGGUAAUGGCUCACCAAGGCGUCGACGGGUAGCCGGCCUGAGAGGGUGACCGGCCACACUGGGACUGAGACACGGCCCAGACUCCUACGGGAGGCAGCAGUGGGGAAUAUUGCACAAUGGGCGCAAGCCUGAUGCAGCAACGCCGCGUGAGGGACGACGGCCUUCGGGUUGUAAACCUCUUUUAGCAGGGAAGAAGCGAAAGUGACGGUACCUGCAGAAAAAGCGCCGGCUAACUACGUGCCAGCAGCCGCGGUAAUACGUAGGGCGCAAGCGUUAUCCGGAAUUAUUGGGCGUAAAGAGCUCGUAGGCGGUUUGUCGCGUCUGCUGUGAAAUCCGGAGGCUCAACCUCCGGCCUGCAGUGGGUACGGGCAGACUAGAGUGCGGUAGGGGAGAUUGGAAUUCCUGGUGUAGCGGUGGAAUGCGCAGAUAUCAGGAGGAACACCGAUGGCGAAGGCAGAUCUCUGGGCCGUAACUGACGCUGAGGAGCGAAAGGGUGGGGAGCAAACAGGCUUAGAUACCCUGGUAGUCCACCCCGUAAACGUUGGGAACUAGUUGUGGGGUCCAUUCCACGGAUUCCGUGACGCAGCUAACGCAUUAAGUUCCCCGCCUGGGGAGUACGGCCGC
rnacentral:rRNA from 1 species